AGAGUUUGAUCAUGGCUCAGAACUAACGCUGGCGGCGUGCCUAACACAUGCAAGUCGUACGAGAAAGUCGGCUUCGGCCGAUGAGUAAAGUGGCGCACGGGUGAGUAAUGCGUGGAUAAUCUGCCCUUGAGUUCGGAAUAACGUACCGAAAGGUGCGCUAAUACCGGAUAAUACUGCACAACUACUGUUGUGUAGUCAAAGAUGGCCUCUGUUUACAAGCUUUUGCUGAAGGAUGAGUCCGCGUACCAUUAGCUAGUUGGUGGGGUUAUGGCCUACCAAGGCGACGAUGGUUAGCUGGUCUGAGAGGAUGAUCAGCCACACUGGAACUGAGACACGGUCCAGACUCCUACGGGAGGCAGCAGUGAGGAAUAUUGCGCAAUGGGGGCAACCCUGACGCAGCAACGCCGCGUGAGUGAGGAAGGUUUUCGGACCGUAAAGCUCUGUCGAGCGGGAAGAAAUGCAUGGUGGCUAAUAUCCAUCAUGCUUGACGGUACCGCUAGAGGAAGCACCGGCUAACUCCGUGCCAGCAGCCGCGGUAAUACGGGGGGUGCAAGCGUUGUUCGGAAUUAUUGGGCGUAAAGAGCGUGUAGGCGGCUGAAUAAGUCAGAUGUGAAAUCCCUGGGCUUAACCCAGGACGUGCAUUUGAAACUAUUCAGCUUGAGUAAGGGAGAGGAAAGUGGAAUUCCUGGUGUAGAGGUGAAAUUCGUAGAUAUCAGGAGGAACACCGGUGGCGAAGGCGACUUUCUGGCCCUAUACUGACGCUGAGACGCGAGAGCGUGGGUAGCAAACAGGAUUAGAUACCCUGGUAGUCCACGCUGUAAACGAUGUUCACUA
rnacentral:rRNA from 1 species